CAUCCCCCACCCCUCUCCCAGUCUGGUAAUACCUGCCCCAGCUCCAAGCACUUGGAAGAAAAAAGCCCCGGCUCAGCAGGUGCAUGAGCCCCACAACUCCCCGCUUCACUCUCCCAGCCUCCCCACGGGUGCCCUGCCUGAGCCAGCUCCAGUUCUUUAAGACAAAAAACCUCCUGAAUAAAACCCCUGGACUCACCGCUCCUGCCGGUGGGGGAUGAUCCCUGUUUCUCCCUACUGCCCUACACCACAUGGAGGGCUCUGCAAGAGUCCCAGAAACCCCAGGGCUGCUGCAGAAGCGGUAUGCUCUGCCAGAACGUAUUUGCUUUAAUGUACUUUAUCAGGUGGUCCUUAACAUAGCUCUGAUGUCUUCUGCUGCAGCACAAUAUACAGAUACACGAAGUAAAAAGCGGCAUGUACCUGUCUGUCAUCAGAACAGCCUUUAACAUUUAUUCGCCUACUUUGCUACAGAAUACACAACUGCAGCAGCUGGCAGAUACAUUCAGGAAAACAACUGGUCCCUGUCAACCUUCUGAGGCCAAACAAGCAGUUAUAAAGUAACAAAUAAAGCUUGGUGUUUUGUUUUGCCAAUA